GACGAACGCUGGCGGCGUGCUUAACACAUGCAAGUCGAACGGUAAGGCCCUUCGGGGUACACGAGUGGCGAACGGGUGAGUAACACGUGGGUGAUCUGCCCUGCACUUCGGGAUAAGCCUGGGAAACUGGGUCUAAUACCGGAUAGGACCACUGCCUGCAUGGGUGGUGGUGGAAAGCUUUUGCGGUGUGAGGAUGGGCCCGCGGCCUAUCAGCUUGUUGGUGGGGUGAUGGCCUACCAAGGCGACGACGGGUAGCCGGCCUGAGAGGGUGACCGGCCACAAUGGGACUGAGGUACGGCCCAGACUCCGACGGGGGGCAGCGGGGGGGAAUAUUGCACAAUGGGCGCAAGCCUGAUGCAGCGACGCCGCGUGAGGGAUGACGGCCUUCGGGUUGUAAACCUCUUUCAGCACCGACGAAGCGCAAGUGACGGUAGGUGCAGAAGAAGGACCGGCCAACUACGUGCCAGCAGCCGCCGCCG
rnacentral:rRNA from 1 species